ensembl:snRNA U6 U6 spliceosomal RNA
GUGCUCCCUUCAGCAGCACAUAUACUAAAAUUGGAAGGAUACAGAGAAGAUUACCAUGGCCCCUGUGCAAGGAUGACAUGCAAAUUUGUGAAGCAUUCCGCAUUUUC